GUCUAGGAUAUCGUGUUACGUUCUUGUCAUGGAUCCUUUGGCUUCUGUUGACUGUGGCAGUUUCACAGAAUUUCUUUGUUUUGAUGACCUGACAGUAUUGAGGAAUACUGCUCAGGAAUACUUUUGAUGUGACCCAGUGUGUGUUUUCCUUUGAGAUCACCGCAGAGAAGUUGCAAGUGGCAUCACUGCCUUGUACUGGAGAAGCACAUGUGGGUUAAGUAUUAGGUAUUGAUAUCUGCUUUCUGCCUUCCAAAGAUGAGAAAUUGGCCUCUACGACCACAAUGAACAGUGAAGUUGAC